CGAACGGUAACAGGAAACAGCUUGCUGUUUCGCUGACGAGUGGCGGACGGGUGAGUAAUGUCUGGGAAACUGCCUGAUGGAGGGGGAUAACUACUGGAAACGGUAGCUAAUACCGCAUAACGUCGCAAGACCAAAGAGGGGGACCUUCGGGCCUCUUGCCAUCGGAUGUGCCCAGAUGGGAUUAGCUAGUAGGUGGGGUAAUGGCUCACCUAGGCGACGAUCCCUAGCUGGUCUGAGAGGAUGACCAGCCACACUGGAACUGAGACACGGUCCAGACUCCUACGGGAGGCAGCAGUGGGGAAUAUUGCACAAUGGGCGCAAGCCUGAUGCAGCCAUGCCGCGUGUAUGAAGAAGGCCUUAGGGUUGUAAAGUACUUUCAGCGGGGAGGAAGGGAGUAAAGUUAAUACCUUUGCUCAUUGACGUUACCCGCAGAAGAAGCACCGGCUAACUCCGUGCCAGCAGCCGCGGUAAUACGGAGGGUGCAAGCGUUAAUCGGAAUUACUGGGCGUAAAGCGCACGCAGGCGGUUUGUUAAGUCAGAUGUGAAAUCCCCGGGCUCAACCUGGGAACUGCAUCUGAUACUGGCAAGCUUGAGUCUCGUAGAGGGGGGUAGAAUUCCAGGUGUAGCGGUGAAAUGCGUAGAGAUCUGGAGGAAUACCGGUGGCG
rnacentral:rRNA from 1 species